ACACUUCUUAAACACAUCUCUUGACCGGGGUGUUCUCACCAUGCCCUUUCUACAAACAAAAAGAAGGCAAUGUAUCGCAUCCUGUAUUACCUUCCCCUGACCUCAUAGCUUCCCAAAACAGGAACAAUCAUGGGCUUUGAAGUAAAGAAUGAAGAUGUGGAGACCUGGAGACAGGUGGCACCUCGUGCUUCCUCCGAAGGGAGAGCCCAUUUCCUAACAGCUGGAUCAAAGGCAUGAAAUGAACAUGGAGUCCCUGAAGAUGAAGAGAAGUUACAGGAAUGCAGAUGUGAUUCCUAUGGAUGAGGGUAACCUAGAGGCUAGAAGAACAAUAGGACAGAAGAAGCCUGGGUCCCUGAACAACCUUGUGGAGCAUAGACACCUACGUGGCCUGGACUGCCAGCUCACAAUGGGCCUCUCUGUGAGAGAAGGAAACUUCCCUCUUGUUUAAGCAACUGUGCUUUUGAGAAUCUCUUGGUCUAUACCCUAAUGAAUAAGGCCAUCAUAAAUGGAUAUCAAAGUAAGGAAA
ensembl:lncRNA LINC02269 long intergenic non-protein coding RNA 2269